ACAUGUUCUCGGGGCGGGGUGAGAUUCCCCACCGGCGGUAAUCAUCCAGCAAUUGCCAAGGGAUGUAGCCCGCGAGCGCUUAUCGAAUGAUCGCUUGUUCGAUAGGGUCAGCAGACUCGGUUAGAUUCCGGGGCCGACGGUAUAGUCCGGAUGAAAGAGAACAGGA
rnacentral:ncRNA from 1 species